rnacentral:rRNA from 1 species
UAGGGAAUCUUCGGCAAUGGGGGCAACCCUGACCGAGCAACGCCGCGUGAGUGAAGAAGGUUUUCGGAUCGUAAAGCUCUGUUGUAAGAGAAGAACGUGUGUGAGAGUGGAAAGUUCACUCAGUGACGGUAACUUACCAGAAAGGGACGGCUAACUACGUGCCAGCAGCCGCGGUAAUACGUAGGUCCCGAGCGUUGUCCGGAUUUAUUGGGCGUAAAGCGAGCGCAGGCGGUUUAAUAAGUCUGAAGUUAAAGGCAGUGGCUUAACCAUUGUUCGCUUUGGAAACUGUUAAACUUGAGUGCAGAAGGGGAGAGUGGAAUUCCAUGUGUAGCGGUGAAAUGCGUAGAUAUAUGGAGGAACACCGGUGGCGAAAGCGGCUCUCUGGUCUGUAACUGACGCUGAGGCUCGAAAGCGUGGGGAGCAAACAGG